CUUAAGCAUAUCAAUAAGCGGAGGAAAAGAAACCAACAGGGAUUGCCCUAGUAACGGCGAGUGAAGCGGCAACAGCUCAAAUUUGAAAUCUGGCGCAAGCCCGAGUUGUAAUUUGUAGAGGAUGCUUCUGGGCAGCGGCCGGUCUAAGUUCCUUGGAACAGGACGUCAUAGAGGGUGAGAAUCCCGUAUGUGACUGGCGCGCACCCUCCACGUAGCUCCUUCGACGAGUCGAGUUGUUUGGGAAUGCAGCUCUAAAUGGGAGGUAAAUUUCUUCUAAAGCUAAAUACCGGCCAGAGACCGAUAGCGCACAAGUAGAGUGAUCGAAAGAUGAAAAGCACUUUGGAAAGAGAGUUAAAAAGCACGUGAAAUUGUUGAAAGGGAAGCGCCUACAACCAGACUUCGCGGCAGUGUUCCGCCGGUCUUCUGACCGGUCCACUCUCUGUCGCGAGGCCAUCAUCGUCUGGGCCCGUCGGAUAAGACCUUGGGAAUGUAGCUCACCUUCGGGGGAGUGUUAUAGCCCAUGGUGAUGCGACGCGGCCCGGGCGAGGUCCGCGCUUCGGCAAGGAUGAUGGCGUAAUGGUUGUCGGCGGCCCGUCUUGAAACACGGACCAAGGAGUCUAACAUCUAUGCGAGUGUUCGGGUGUCAAACCCCUACGCGUAAUGAAAGUGAACGGAGGUGGGAACCGCAAGGUGCACCAUCGACCGAUCCUGAUGUCCUCGGAUGGAUUUGAGUAAGAGCAUAGCUGUUGGGACCCGAAAGAUGGUGAACUAUGCCUGAAUAGGGUGAAGCCAGAGGAAACUCUGGUGGAGGCUCGCAGCGGUUCUGACGUGCAAAUCGAUCGUCAAAUUUGGGUAUAGGGGCGAAAGACUAAUCGAACCAU
rnacentral:rRNA from 1 species